rnacentral:rRNA from 1 species
AGAGUUUGAUCAUGGCUCAGGAUGAACGCUAGCUACAGGCUUAACACAUGCAAGUCGAGGGGCAGCAUUGGAGUAGCAAUACUCAGAUGGCGACCGGCGCACGGGUGAGUAACACGUAUCCAACCUGCCGCUUACUCGGGGAUAGCCUUUCGAAAGAAAGAUUAAUACCCGAUGGUAUAAAGAGUUCGCAUGUUCUCUUUAUUAAAGAAUUUCGGUAAGCGAUGGGGAUGCGUUCCAUUAGAUAGUUGGCGGGGUAACGGCCCACCAAGUCUACGAUGGAUAGGGGUUCUGAGAGGAAGGUCCCCCACAUUGGAACUGAGACACGGUCCAAACUCCUACGGGAGGCAGCAGUGAGGAAUAUUGGUCAAUGGACGAGAGUCUGAACCAGCCAAGUAGCGUGAAGGAUGACUGCCCUAUGGGUUGUAAACUUCUUUUAUAAGGGAAUAAAGUGAGGGACGUGUCCCUUUUUGUAUGUACCUUAUGAAUAAGGAUCGGCUAACUCCGUGCCAGCCGCAGC